GUCGGAGUGGCGGAACCGGCAGACGCGUACGUUUGAGGGGCGUAUGGUACACACCGUGAGGGUUCAAGUCCCUCCUCCGACACCA
rnacentral:tRNA from 1 species